rnacentral:rRNA from 1 species
GACAGAGGGUGCAAACGUUGUUCGGAAUUACUGGGCGUAAAGCGCGUGUAGGCUGCUUGGAAAGUCGGAUGUGAAAGCCCUGGGCUCAACCCAGGAAGUGCAUUCGAAACUUCCGAGCUCGAGUUCUGGAGAGGAUAGCGGAAUUCUCGGUGUAGAGGUGAAAUUCGUAGAUAUCGGGAGGAACACCGGUGGCGAAGGCGGCGACCUGGGUCGAGACUGACGCUGAGGCGCGAAAGCGUGGGGAGCAAACAGG